UUCUGUUGUUGCCAUCAACAGAUUACAAAUUGUUGCAAUAAUCGGUGAGUGUUCCUUCUGUCUGCUCAACGCCUGCAUGUCUCCUCGACAUUAUCCACCAUCUACCUAUGAAGAUCAUAUCCUGAGUAUUAUAGGAAGUGCCAUCUGAAUAGCAAUCCCCUUACAAGGGGUUAGCUCUGCUGUUUCCAGGUUCUCUGAUACCUUUAUCUUUUUACCAGCAUGUUACGUAUGGCAGAAGAUCAGAAAGCUGAUGAAUGUUUAGUAGUUUAAAUGUCUGUGGAUAUUUUUCGGCUGUUGAAGUGCUGAAAAGUUUCAGUCUGCUUCGUCUUGUUAGAUAUGUGGAUAAAGGAUUGUGAACCAUUAACAAUGUAUCUGUUGUCAAACUUGUGCUUGUCUUCUUAUCAGGGCUUCCCUAUUUCAUGCUGUCAACUAGUGCCUGAACUGCCUAAACUAUACCAUAAACGUGGUACAGUUACGCUUAGCUAGUAGUACUACUAUCAUAUGAUAAUAUACCGUUUGCAACAUUCUGAUUUUCUGA